rnacentral:rRNA from 1 species
AAAGAAACCAACAGGGAUUGCCCUAGUAACGGCGAGUGAAGCGGCAACAGCUCAAAUUUGAAAUCUGGCCUCGGCCCGAGUUGUAAUUUGCAGAGGAAGCUUUAGGCGCGGCACCUUCUGAGUCCCCUGGAACGGGGCGCCAUAGAGGGUGAGAGCCCCGUAUAGUUGGAUGCCUAGCCUGUGUAAAGCUCCUUCGACGAGUCGAGUAGUUUGGGAAUGCUGCUCAAAAUGGGAGGUAAAUUUCUUCUAAAGCUAAAUACCGGCCAGAGACCGAUAGCGCACAAGUAGAGUGAUCGAAAGAUGAAAAGCACUUUGAAAAGAGGGUUAAAAAGCACGUGAAAUUGUUGAAAGGGAAGCGCUUGUGACCAGACUUGCGCCGGGCUGAUCAUCCGGUGUUCUCACCGGUGCACUCGGCCCGGCACAGGCCAGCAUCGGUUCUCGCGGGGGGAUAAAGGUCCCGGGAACGUAGCUCCUCCGGGAGUGUUAUAGCCCGGGGCGUAAUGCCCUCGCGGGGACCGAGGUUCGCGCAUCUGCAAGGAUGCUGGCGUA